AAGACAUGGCCAAAUAUCAGUACAAAGCUAACUGGGACCCUUGGUGACCCAAGGUAACUCGGGGUGACAUUUCAUUUUGCUGGAAGAAGAAUAUGUGUUUAACAUGUAUGAUAGUUCUGAAUGAAGAUUGAAGCUGUUCUGUAGUUCUGAGGGUUAUCAUACCACUGAGAGUAAAAGCUUUUCAGUUACAACUCAAUGGUAUUACACGAUGGCGUUUAUGUCAACAAUUCGUACCCUUCUUACUCUCAGGGACAUGGGGAUGCUCUUCUCCAGAUGUUUACUAAACUCUCCUGCAGAUGAGAUUUUAUGUUACAAAAAAAUUUCAGAGUUGAAUGAAUGAAUAAAGAGAAGAGACAGAAGUUGUCUAAAACAUUCAAGUUUAUAAAGACAUUUACAGAAUGUCCUGGAGUCCUUCAGCUCUCCUGUGAUGAAAUUCCCUUUCACAUCUCUCACAUAACGACAACUUGCCUCAAAGUGAAGAGACUUUUGUGAUUAAUACUCUGUCUUCAUUCAGAAAGGAAUUUCCUUAUCCCUAAGUGCUAAGUGGUUGAGGAUCCCAUCUUACCCAAUUUUUGUUCCUUGCCUACCAAUGGCAGCCUCACUGUGUGUAUAUGUAUGUGUGUGUGUGUGUGUGUGUGUGUGUGUGGUCAGAGACUGGCACCUUGCUUUUCCUCCCUGCCUUCUAAUUUGACUGAGGACUUCUAGGAGCUUCCCUUUCCUUCCCUGCUUCCUUAGGGCAUCUUCAAUAGUUAGAGGGCUACAUUUUGAGAAGGUGUUUUCCUAUGGGCUAUAGUUGAACAUCAGAAACAAUUUUCACGAAGAAGCGAUGUUGCCCAAGAAAAUAUGUCCUGUAGCAUAAGCAAAUGGAAAAACAUUCCAUCCUCAUGGAUAGGAAGAAUCAAUAUUGUGAAAAUGGCCAUACUGCCCAAAGUAAUUUAUAGAUUCAGUGCUAUUCCCAUCAAGAUAUUUGAUAUUCUUCACAGAAUUAGAAAAAACUACUUUAAAUUUCAUAUGGAAUCAAAGAAGACCCCAUAUAGCCAAGAGAAUCCUAAGCAAAAAGAACAAAGCCAGAGGCAUCACACUACCUGACUUCAAACUAUACUACCAGGCUACAGUAACUAAAACAGCAUGGUACUGGUACCAAAACAGACAUAUAGACAAAUGGAGCAGAACAGAGACCUCAGAAAUAACACCACACAUCUACAGCUAUCUGAUCUUCAACAAACCUGACAAAAACAAGCAAUGGGAAAAGGAUUUCCCAUUCAAUAAAUAGUCCUGGGAAAACUGGCUAGCCAUAUACACAAAACUAAAACUGGACCCGUUCCUUACACCUUAUACAAAAAUUAACUGAGGAUGGAUUAAAGACUUAAAUGUAUAACCCAAAACCAUAAAACCCCUAGAAGAAAACCUAUGCAAUUUCAUUCAGGACAUAGGCAUGGGCAAAGACUUCAUGAUAAAAAUGCCAAAAGCAAUUGCAACAAAAGUAAAAACGGACAAAUGGAGUCUAGUUAAACUAAAGAGCUUCUGCACAGCAAAAGAAACUAUCAUCAGGGAGAACAGGCAACCUACAGAAUGGGAGAAAAUUUUGGCAAUCUACCCAUCUGACAAAGGUCUAAUAUCAAGAAUUUACAAGGAACUUAAAUAAAUUUACAAGAAAAAAGCAAACAACCACAUCAAAAAGUGGGCAAAGGAUAUGAACAAACACUUCUCAAAAGAAGACAUUUAUGUGGCCAACAAACAUAUGAAAAAAAGCUCAACAUCACUGAUCAUUAGAGAAAUGCUACUGAAAACCAUAAUGAGAUACCAUCUCAUGCCAGUCAGAAUGGCAAUUAUUAAAAAGUCAAGAAACAAUAGAUGCUAGGGAGGCUGAAAUAGGAACGCUUUUACACUAUUGGGAAUGUAAAUUAGUUCAACCAUUAUGGAAGACAGUAUGGUGAUUCCUCAAGGAUCUUGAACCAGAAAUAUGAUGUGACCCAGCAAUCCCAUUACUGGUUAUAUACCAAAAGGAAUAUAAAUCAUUCUACUAUAAAGACACAUGCACACAUAUGUUUAUUGUAGCACUAUUUACAAUAGCAAAGUCAUGGAACCAACCCAACUGCCCAUCAAUGAUAGACUGGAUAAAGAAAAUGUGGCACAUAUACACCACGAAAUACUAUGCAGCCAUAAAAAAGGAUGAGUUCAUGUCCUUUGCAGGGACACGGAUGAAGCUAGAAGCCAUCAUCCUCAGCAAACUAACACAGGAACAGAAAACCAAACACUGCAUGUUCUCACUCAUAAGUGGGAGUUGAACAAUGAGAAAACAUGGACACAGGAGUCCACUGGGCAUGGUGUCAUGUGCCUAUAAUCCCAGCUACUCAGGAGGCUGAGGCAGGAGGAUUGCUUGAGACCAGGAGUUUGAGGCCAGCCUGCACAACAUAGCAAGACCCCAUCUCAACAACAACAACAACAACAACAAAAGUAUCAGGAGUCAUUGUUAAGAGGAGAACGUCGUACUUCCAAGUUGAUGAAUCUCAUGUAAGUUCUGGCAACUGGUAAGCGGUGGAGCUGAAAUUUAAAGCCGAUUUUGUCUGACUUCUAAGACUGUAAUAUUUAAUAUGUUUAAUAGACAUAAAAUGUGUA